rnacentral:rRNA from 1 species
GAUGAACGCUGGCGGCAUGCCUAACACAUGCAAGUCGGACGGGAAGAGGUGUUUCCAGUGGCGGUCGGGUGAGCAACGCGUAAGAACGUGCCCUUGGGAGGGGAACAACAGCUGGAAACGGCUGCUAAUACCCCGUAGGCUGAGGAGCAAAAGGUGGAAUCCGCCCGAGGAGGCGCUUGCGUCUGAGUAGCUAGUUGGUGAGGCAAUGGCUUACCAAGGCGAUGAGCAAUAGCUGAACUGAGAGGAGGAUCAGCCACACUGGGACUGAGACACGGGCCAGACUCCGACGGGAGGCCGCAGCAGGCACUUUUGGGCAGCGGGAGUAAGCCUGAUUCAGCAAUGCCGGGUGGGCGAAGGAGGCCUUCCGGCGGGAAAGUAGUAUUCCUAGGGAACAAGAGCUGCUUUUCCAGGCGAAGAAGCAAUGACGGUAUCUAAGGAAUAAGCAUCGGCUAACUCCGUG